UACGGAAGGGGGCUAGCGUUGCUCGGAAUCACUGGGGCGUAAAGGGCGCGUAGGCGGCCGAUUAAGUCGGGGGUGAAAGCCUGUGGCUCAACCACAGAAUUGCCUUCGAUACUGGUUGGCUUGAGACCGGAAGAGGACAGCGGAACUGCGAGUGUAGAGGUGAAAUUCGUAGAUAUUCGCAAGAACACCAGUGGCGAAGGCGGCUGUCUGGUCCGGUUCUGACGCUGAGGCGCGAAAGCGUGGGGAGCAGACAGG
rnacentral:rRNA from 1 species